AUAAGUUGGUGACUAAAUUUAUAACUGUUGUCAGUUAAAAAGUUCAACUAUCAUAUCCCUAACUAAGAUAUUCUACAUUUAGAGUACAGAAAAUGCCACUUAUUGGUAAAUAAUUGCUUAGAAAGUGUCUCAAUUGUUUUUUUAGCAAUACAUCAUCUGAACUUUAGUGGCAACUAGAUGAAAUACAAUGGAAAGCACAUCAGCCUUGGCUUUAACUUCUACAAUUUGUUAUUUGUCUACUAGUGUUUACUCAAAUUCAGUCACCUAAAUAUAGAAAUAAUACGUAGAUUUGUUGUUCACAAAAUAGAUCUUGAAUCAAUUUGGUACUAAAGUGUUGGCAUGUUCCUGGUAAAUAUACGAACUAGACCUAGUAUCGAUUUCUUUAAUGAACAUAAAGAAAGCUACGUAAGUACGAAGGAGAAAUUAUUUAGGUCAAUACAUGUGAGGAACUAACAAAACCUACAACAUUUUUGAGAUGGUCUCAACUCACAGACCUACAGCCCCAUUAACAUAUCUACAGGAGUUACGUUUUAACUUGAUUAUGUUAAACAUCACUACAACAGAUUCAAUGAUGAAGGUAUGCCUUUGUCACCAGAAGACCAGGUUAGGCAACUUAGUUUGGCAAUCUAAUGAUUCUAAUUCAGAAUAUAACAUUCUAAUUCAGAAUAUAACAUUCUGCAAGUCAUAUUCUUCAAAAAUUACAAAAAAUAUACUUUCUUUCAAACUUGCCUAGUUCUUGACAGCCACAGAACACUAAUGUAUUUGGCGAACUUGGGAAUAUUAGGAUCCAUUUAACAUAAUGUAUGCAUUUUUGAAGAUCGUUAGAUGAAUGGACAACAAAGAACAAAUAACCAAAACAGAAUAUGUUUUUCUU
rnacentral:misc_RNA from 1 species